GUGACCAGGAGGUCACCCCACGCAUGACAAGGAAGAAGGAGAAGGAGACUGAUUUCACAUGAGGAUCACGAAAUUGGAGGGUUGAAGUCUCGAUUAUGUCUUCUUUGCUUGAUUCUAAGGCUCUAGUAAGUGAUUUCAUAUGUUGUUUGAUGAAAUUCAAAGUAGUGUUCUUCAUGCUUUUUGUUCAAACCAUGAAAUUAAGGUUAAUUGUGUGUGAUUUUGGUGUUGAACAACCAUAGUCUUUAUGCUAAACUGAUUUAUUGUAACUUUUGAGUUAUGGAUUCAUGUUAUUUGGGUUCAAAUUCAAGAUUUGGUGAUUAGGGUAGAGAUGUAUGAAAACCAUGUGUGAAGUUGCUGACCAAAAUCUGAGUAGAAACUAACGAUCCUAAAACAGCGAUGAUUUUGUUUAAAAACAUAAAAGAUGAUACUAUUUGAGAAUUACAAAGAAAAUAGACAUCUUUAAUGAUGAAUUGGGUGCAUGAGAGUUCAUAUAAGCGUAAAAAUGGUGGAAUAUAGUUUAUGCCCGCAAGGUGUUUGAUUAAAUGGCUAAACGAAAAUAAAAGUGAGAUUUUGAAAGUUUUGCCAUGUUUACUUGAUUUUUUUAAUGUUUUGCUAAGAAUUACUUAGUGUUUUGUAAACAUAAAGCUUUGGUGAAUCUAAUGGUGAAUGAGAUUAACAUAAAGUACAUAUGUAAAUGUUAUUUUCACUUGAUCAUCCAAACGGGUCACUUGAGUGAAUGAGUUAAUUGGGUUGGAUUAUAACCCAAACUUAUACACUUUGGUUAGUCGAUGAAAUUGUGGUGAAAAUGACCCGUAUGUUAUGACUAAACACAAAUGCGUGAUAAUGGGUCAAAUGGAUGUUGAUAAACCAAUUAACAAGUUUGGGGUAAAAGAAUGAGUUAGAACACAUGCUUGAUGAUGGGUUGGAUAAGUAACUAGGUAUUAUGAGAUAAAUGCCCAUGUUACGUGUUCUAAUGAUUUGCAAGUUUGAUUUGUUGUCAAGAUAGGUGACAUAACGUUUGGAUGGCAACGGGUCAAACGAGUGAUAAAGCAACAACAUUCCUACGGGCAAAGGUGAGUGACUCGUGUAUGUUUGGAGUCGCAUUGAUUUAAAUAGUCUUAUUGUGGGAUUAAAUUUCUUAUGGUUAAGGUGGUUUAAUGAAACUUAUUGAAUAUGGUUUAACUUAACAAUAACGUAUUGUUUUAGCGAUGUUUUGGGGGUUUUAACCCAUCAAGAAAGAGUACAUAAUGUUAAUGGGUCGAGAUACCCAAAUGCUGAAAAUUCAGCUUAUUUCCAUAUUUUUGCUAGUCUUUAAAAAUUAAUAGAAAAUCAACCGAAUGUCCGUUCGGGGCGUAUUUUAUAUCCACGGAAAGGUCUCGAAGUCACCGUUAAUAAGAAUUUUCGUUUGAAGUGAAAUACUCACUAUAAAUAUGGGAAAAUACUGAAUUACUACAGCUGCAUAAAGCUGAGUGAAAAACAUAAAUUUAAUAGUACUUGCAUAAUCUUAGGGAAUUUAUAAGGAACCAAUGGAAUGUGAUUAUGUUGUUGUUUUAAACCUCUAUUUAGCUAUGUAUAUUACAUGAGUUGAGGUGAGUGAUUCCUUGAAUAUGGAUGUGUAUGCUAAACUAAAAAGUCAUGGGUGUUGUAACCUACAUGUGCAAAAACAUGUGUUCAUUUAGUAGUGCUUAUGAAUGAAUGACACUUGUGUCAUAAAAACUAUAUAACAUAUUGGAGUAUGUUAUGAAUACAUGUAUGAAUUAUUAAGAGUAUUUUAGAUAAUAAUGAUUGUUGAUAAUCGUAUAUAUUGUCUAAUGAUUUACAACAUAGAUAUGUGGCAGUUUACCAUUUUAUUUAUAUUGACCGAAUCAAUUCGAUAGUGGUUUACUUUGAAGUUUCCUUGAUUCUAUAUUAGCAGGGAUAUACAUGAGAUAUAAAAAAGGGGCAUCCAUAUUAGAAUGGAGAAAGUCACAAAAUGUGUGACUCGAGAUAAUGAAGUGGUGGCUCGAUAUUGUUUCGUUGGGCAUUAUGAGCAUUGAAUACUCCGUUAUGUUUGGUACAAAAUCAUAUUAUGAGUCCUCACUUAACAAAAGCUAAUAUUUUGAUGUUUUAAAUGUAGGUGAUAAGUCAUGAAAAUCAACGGGUGACUUGAACCAGAAUCAUGAAAGAAGAAAACAUCUCACAAGCACCAAUAAUUCGAUUCGGGUGGUAGGAAGGCGAAAGUGAUCAAGUUUUUGAAGCGGGUCAACGAUGUGAAGAUUUAGUGAUGCCUUGUUCACUAAGUAAUAUGGGUUUUCUUAUUGGGUCAACUUGACUUAGUUAUUUGCAUUUUAGAGUUUAACUUUAAUGUUUAUUUUAGCCAAGUGCUAGUAUGUCAAUGUAGUAGUGGGUUAUAUUUGUUUUAUAAAAA
rnacentral:lncRNA from 1 species